rnacentral:snRNA from 1 species
AUCGCUUCUCGGCCUUUUGGCUAAGAUCAAGUGUAGUAUCAAUUAUUUUGGGUAUAUACCUACAAGUGGAAUUGCUGGAUCACAGGGUAAUUCUAUAUUUAACUUUUUGAGAAACUAUCAUGCCAUUU